rnacentral:rRNA from 1 species
ACGGAGGGUGCGAGCGUUAAUCGGAAUUACUGGGCGUAAAGCGCGCGUAGGCGGUUUGUUAAGUCAGCUGUGAAAGCCCCGGGCUCAACCUGGGAACUGCAGUUGAUACUGGCCGACUAGAGUACGAGAGAGGGAGGUAGAAUUCCAUGUGUAGCGGUGAAAUGCGUAGAUAUAUGGAGGAAUACCAGUGGCGAAGGCGGCCUCCUGGCUCGAUACUGACGCUGAGGUGCGAAAGCGUGGGGAUCAAACAGGAUUAGAUACCCUGGUAGUCCACGCCGUAAACGAUGUCUACUAGCCGUUGGGAGACUUGAUUUCUUAGUGGCGCAGCUAACGCUUUAAGUAGACCGCCUGGGGAGUACGGCCGCAAGGUUA